CUGAUGCGGCGUGCUACCAUGCAAGUCAGGGAGAAAGGGGUAGCAAUAUCCCGAGUAAACCGGCGCAAGGGUGAGUAACGCGUAGGUAAUCUGCCCUUAGGACGGGAAUAACUUCGAGAAAUCGAGGAUAAUACCCGAUGAAAUCUCGAUGCGGCAUCGUAUUGAGAUCAAAGGUCCGCAAGGACGCCCAAGGAUGAACCUGCGUCCCAUUAGGUAGUUGGCGGGGUAAUGGCCCACCAAGCCGACGAUGGGUAGCUGGUCUGAGAGGACGAUCAGCCACACUGGAACUGAGACACGGUCCAGACUCCUACGGGAGGCAGCAGUGAGGAAUAUUGCGCAAUGCCCGAAAGGGUGACGCAGCGACGCCGCGUGGAGGAUGAAGGCCCUAUGGGUCGUAAACUCCUUUUGUGAGGGAAGAACAGGUUGCUACAGGCAGCCGUGACGGUACCUCAAGAAAAAGCAUCGGCUAACUACGUGCCAGCAGCCGCGGUAAUACGUAGGAUGCGAGCGUUGUCCGGAUUCACUGGGUGUAAAGGGAGCGCAGGCGGGUCAGCAAGUCAUUGGUGAAAUUCUCGGGCUUAACCCGGGGACUGCCAUUGAUACUACUGAUCUUGAGUAUGGAAGAGGUUGGUGGAAUUCAUGGUGUAGCGGUGAAAUGCGUAGAUGUCAUGAAGAACACCGAUGGCGAAGGCAGCCAACUGGUCCAUUACUGACGCUCAUGCUCGAAAGCGUGGGGAUCAAACAGGAUUAGAUACCCUGGUAGUCCACGCCCUAAACGAUGGAUACUCGAUGUCGGCCCGCAAGGGUCGGUGUCCAAGCUAACGCAUUAAGUAUCCCACCUGGGGAGUACGAUCGCAAGGUUGAAACUCAAAGGAAUUGACGGGGGCCCGCACAAGCAGUGGAGCAUGUGGUUUAAUUCGAUGCAACGCGAAGAACCUUACCUGGGUUUGAAAGGCUCUGUAAACCGGUGAAAGCCGGCUAGUGUAGCAUACACACGGAGUACAGUGCUGCAUGGCUGUCGUCAGCUCGUGCCGUGAGGUGUUAGGUUAAGUCCUGCACGAGCGCAACCCCUGCACUAGUGCCAUCAGUCAAGCUGGGCACCUCUAAGUGGACUGCCUACGCAGUAGCGAGGAAAGGGUGGGGGGAUUAACGUCUCAAGGUC
rnacentral:rRNA from 1 species